UUCAGCCAUGUAAUAGAGGUCGGAUUCUGAGAGCCAAGACACUGAAGAGAGAAAGGCUCGCCUGCUACUGGCAGAGAGGGUUGACAGCGGUGCAGGUCAGGAUCUGUGUUGGCACUUGUUGCUGGAUCAGGAGGUUCAGCUCUGAACCCUGAGAGGUCACAUUACCCCUGGUCCAGGUGUACUGGUAGCUCGGGUAGCAGGUGGCUGAACACUGGAAACCAGAUGAGAUUCCCACUGUUACCAUGUCAACCCCGUUGAUCACCACUGAGAGCGGCCCGUCUGCAAGAGGAGAUGAUAGCCGAGCAAGGCAGCCUCUUACCUGCCAGGCAGGUGAGCAGGAGCAGCAGAAAGGCUGAGUGAUGAACCAUGGUGCCACAGACAGUCUGAGUAGCUGUCCACGCUCUUACAACUCUACACUCUUAUAAGCUAUAGUAGUAGGCCUUGCCCACUGUUAUCUCCCACUCAUUCAAAACACAGACACAAAUGACCUACUGUUCCUGGGAAAGGAGUGCAACAUGUUGGUUAUCAGCUAGGUUUAUUCUCUGCAGAGGGUGUGAAUGCAAGCAGUCACUUUGUUGCAUGGUUUUGUCUUCUGUGGGUUGCGGUUGAUUCCUUUGUACCUGCAGAGUUAAUCCAGGUCAGAUAAUAUGGCUCUCUGUUUUUGUCAUAUCUGCCUGUGGUUGCAGAUGUAAAGAUCUUAAGCUCAAUUUAUCACAGUAUCUUGACAGAAUACAACUUGAGCUGUCUGCAAGAUCUGUUAUGUUUGACUGUUAUCUUUGUAGUUUUGUUAAUGUGUUUGCCUUCAGCAUGUGAGUUUUAGAUUGUUAAUAAACCUGCAAAUUGGGUGCAUCUUGUCUGUAC